GCAACGCCGCGUGCGGGAUGACGGCCUAAGGGUUGUAAACCGCUUUUAGUAGGGAAGAAGGGCUUCGGCUUGACGGUACCUGCAGAAAAAGGACCGGCUAACUACGUGCCAGCAGCCGCGGUAAUACGUAGGGUCCGAGCGUUGUCCGGAAUUAUUGGGCGUAAAGAGCUCGUAGGCGGUUUGUCGCGUCUGCUGUGAAAUCUGGAGGCUCAACCUCCAGCCUGCAGUGGGUACGGGCAGACUAGAGUGCGGUAGGGGAGAAUGGAAUUCCUGGUGUAGCGGUGGAAUGCGCAGAUAUCAGGAGGAACACCGAUGGCGAAGGCAGUUCUCUGGGCCGUAACUGACGCUGAGGAGCGAAAGCGUGGGGAGCGAACAGGAUUAGAUACCCUGGUAGUCCACGCCGUAAACGUUGGGCGCUAGAUGUGGGGACCUUUCCACGGUUUCCGUGUCGUAGCUAACGCAUUAAGCGCCCCGCCUGGGGAGUACGGCCGCAAGGCUAAAACUCAAAGGAAUUGACGGGGGCCCGCACAAGCGGCGGAGCAUGCGGAUUAAUUCGAUGCAACGCGAAGAACCUUACCAAGGCUUGACAUAACCGAGAACGCCGCAGAAAUGUGGAACUCUUU
rnacentral:rRNA from 1 species